UACGUAGGGGGCAAGCGUUGUCCGGAAUCAUUGGGCGUAAAGAGCGUGUAGGCGGCCCGAUAAGUCCGCUGUGAAAGUCCAGGGCUCAACCCUGGGAUGCCGGUGGAUACUGUCGGGCUCGAGUCCGGAAGAGGAGUGUGGAAUUCCUGGUGUAGCGGUGAAAUGCGCAGAUAUCAGGAGGAACACCAAUGGCGAAGGCAGGUCUCUGGGCCACUACUGACGCUGAGAAGCGAAAGCAUGGGGAGCGAACAGG
rnacentral:rRNA from 1 species